CGGUGGAUGCCCUGGCAGUCAGAGGCGAUGAAGGACGUGCUAAUCUGCGAAAAGCGCCGGCGAGGUGAUAUGAACCCUUGACCCGGCGAUGUCCGAAUGGGGAAACCCAGUGUGUUCCGACACACUAUCGUUAACUGAAUACAUAGGUUAACGAGGCGAACCGGUCUGAAUCAGCUUGUGUGUUAGUGGAACGGUCUGGAAAGUCCGACGGUACAGGGUGAUAGUCCCGUACACGAAAAUGCACAGGUUGUGAACUCGAAGAGUAGGGCGGGACACGUGGUAUCCUGUCUGAAUAUGGGGGGACCAUCCUCCAAGGCUAAAUACU
rnacentral:rRNA from 1 species